GACGUAGGGGGCGAGCGUUGUCCGGAUUUAUUGGGCGUAAAGAGCGUGUAGGCGGCUUUACAGGUCCGUUGUGAAAACUCGAGGCUCAACCUCGAGACGCCGGUGGAAACCGUAAGGCUAGAGUCCGGAAGAGGAGAGUGGAAUUCCUGGUGUAGCGGUGAAAUGCGCAGAUAUCAGGAAGAACACCCGUGGCGAAGGCGGCUCUCUGGGACGGUACUGACGCUGAGACGCGAAAGCGUGGGGAGCGAACAGG
rnacentral:rRNA from 1 species